GAUGAACGCUGGCGGCGUGCCUAAUACAUGCAAGUCGAGCGAACAGAUGAGAAGCUUGCUUCUCUGAUGUUAGCGGCGGACGGGUGAGUAACACGUGGGUAACCUACCUAUAAGACUGGGAUAACUCCGGGAAACCGGGGCUAAUACCGGAUAAUAUUUUGAACCGCAUGGUUCAAUAGUGAAAGACGGUUUCGGCUGUCACUUAUAGAUGGACCCGCGCCGUAUUAGCUAGUUGGUAAGGUAACGGCUUACCAAGGCGACGAUACGUAGCCGAGCUGAGGGGGUGAUCGGCCACACUGGAACUGGGACACGGUCCAGACUCCGACGGGAGGCAGCAGUAGGGAAUCUUCCGCAAUGGGCGAAAGCCUGACGGGGCAACGCCGCGUGAGGGAUGAAGGUCUUCGGAUCGUAAAACUCUGUUAUUAGGGAAGAACAAAUUUGUUAGUAACUGAACAAGUCUUGACGGUACCUAACCAGAAAGCCACGGCUAACUACGUGCCAGCAGCCGCGGUAA
rnacentral:rRNA from 1 species